rnacentral:lncRNA from 1 species
GCAUUGAUGCGGCAGGCUGCAGGGCUGGGCCAGACGCUGAGCAGGGUCAGGCUCCUGCCGACCCCUUUACCUCCUGCUCCGCGCUUCGCAGCCACCGCACACCAUGCACCCCCAAGGCCGCGCGGCCCCCCCGCAGCUGCUGCUCGGUCUCUUCCUUGUGCUGCUGCUGCUGCUACAGUUGUCCGCACCGAUCAGCGCCUCUGAGAACCCCAAGGUGAAGCAAAAAGCGCUGAUCCGGCAGAGGGAGGUGGUAGACCUGGAGGAGAAGACUCAGCCAGGAUCGCACCGGGAGGGCAUCAGUAUAGAUGGUGGUGGUGCUGACCGUAGGGGUGAGUGUAGGGCAGCACGUUAAGAAGCUUGAGUGCCUCAGUGUCCUGCCUGUGUACCUGUGUGGGGACGGAUCUGACGCACGCCUGCAGCAGAGUCUUGAACCGCUACGGGAGAUCAUGAGAGGUCACCACAUGCUCCGACGUGGGUCAGGUGGGAUGCCCAAAUCCGUGUAAGUCGCCCAGUAAUUUCUGGCUCCAGGGGAGGCCACCGUUGGGAGAAGUGGGGGGAUGCUGUGGCUGCAACUGGAGUAGAUUGAGUUAGUCAGUUGAUUUCAAAAGAAAGCCCGAGGAAGACCCUAGGCCAGCUGGCCGCUUGGCCCUGGGCCAAGGCUGUGCAACGUGUCCUUUGUGAGGACCAGUGGCCACGGUCUGGCCACGUCUGCCUGGAGGAGAGGCUAACAACCCCCACAAAGCAUUUGUUCAGCUAACUUGAAGAUUAUGAAUCACUUUGUGUCAUCUCCCUGGGAAAUAUGAACUGCAGUUUACUCCUUAGAGGACCACAGCUUGAGCCAGGAGUGGUCAGAGGCUUUGAAGCUGAAGGGGAAAAAUGAAGGCCCCACUAGGAGCCCUUCCAAGGACCCAUUUUGCCUGAUCUGUUUAAAACAGAUGAGCAGUCAGGUCUUAACCAGUCAGGAACACUGUACUCAAGCUAAGGGGAAGGAAAGCGCUCCCAGGAAAGCAAAUAUCCCAAGGGCUUUCUGAGAGGCUAAUCUGUGGGAAAGUCUGUUUGCUUAAAACCUUUCCCUCUAAAAGUCAAUAAACCUAGUGGAGGGCAGAGAGUUUGUCUGUCCCACUCAAAAGCCAGCCAUCGAUAGAUUUGUAGUCUUUGGCACAUCAUAAACUUCUGUCCUUAAACCAAGCUAUAUGGUUGUCAGGCACUGCGAUACAUAAAGGACAGGGGACAUUUACUUAUUUUAUUAUUAUUAUUUUUUUUUUAGAUUUGAAUUUCUUCCACUGACAUUCUAAGUUGAGCUAAUAAACCAAGCUCCUUGACAGCUAGUUCUAAACUGAUUCAAAAGCACUGGGGGAAAAUCCCUGCUGUUUCACGCAGCAGUGGUAGGGUUUUGUUGUUUUAUGCUCUGAUAUAUAAUUUUCCUCCACAAAAGCAUACUGUGUUGGAGCUACAGUUCUAUUUUGAGUGCCUAAGUUGUUAAAAAAAAAAAAAGUGCCACAUGAAUGUGGCUCGUGUGCAGUUUGCGUAUUAUGAAUGUGUAGUUAAGAUACAUAAAAUAGUCAUUUCCCCAUAAAGCUAGCAUUUUCCCCCUCUAAGGAUUAUACAGUACCACAACUCUACCCCAACUUGGAAAAGCAUACUGUGCUGCCAGGCUCAGGUGCAUCCUGUAGAUUGGAUUUGGUUCUGGUGUCAGAAAAAGUCCACACAGUCAUUAGGAAGGUUUCCACAGAUUCUAUAAAGCGACUUUGUAUAGGCGCUUUCAAAGCGUGUCUUUCACGCUCCCACUGAAUUCUGCCCCCUGGUGGCCAACACAGGAAAUGGGGCGUUGGGUGAGGGAAUUUGAGCUUCCAUUCACAUGUUUUCAUUUUGUUGACUUUCACUAAUGAUUCUAAAUACCUAUUGGAACUAGCAUUUUAAGUUAAGAAAAGACAAACAUACUCUAUGUAGCAUCUUUCCUGAGAGGAAUUUAGAAAUUAUCAAAUCAUACUAGAGGAAUUUACAACAAUAAAUGAAAUGUUAAAGUAAAAAAUUUAAUUGGAAUUCAUUGUGUUUUGAAAAGUCUAACAUCAUCCCUGUUUCUAUGUGAACUAAUACAAGGAUAAGUGCAGGAAUUGAUAAGCAACGCUCAAAAUAUUUCCACUGUAGCUCAAUGGUAGAGUACUUGCCUGAUAUGUGUAAGGUUCUAAGUUCAAGCCUCAUUGAUGUAAUGUGAACAUGCGUGCUCUCUCUCUCUCUCUCUCUCUCUCUCUCUCUCUCUGUGUGUGUGUGUGUGUGUGUGUGUGUGUGUGUGUUUUGAGGUGUGGUCCCAUGUAUCCCAGACUAGGCACAAAUUUGCUGUUUUGACAGGAUCCUAAACUCUGGGUCCCUGCCUCUGCUUCCCAGGGGAAAGGGAUUACAGGCACACGUGUGCUACCAACUGUUAACUUCAUGGCAAGAAUGCUUAUUAUCAUCUUCAUUUUAUUCAUAAGGAAAUGGGCACUGAAAUGCUGAGUAAAUGGCCUGGUCUCAUACAUCUAAGACGGGAUGAGUCUAGUAU